rnacentral:rRNA from 1 species
AACAAUGGCUUGAUCUCAUCAGCCUGAUCUCAUCAGAUCUCAGAGGCUAAGCAGGACCGGGCAUGGUUAGUACUUGGAUGGGAGACCCCUGGGAAUAUCAGGUGCCAUUGUGG